rnacentral:rRNA from 1 species
GACAGAGGCCUCGAGCGUUAGGCGGAAUCACUGGGCUUAAAGCGUGUGUAGGCGGGCCCGUAAGUGUCUUGUGAAAUCCCACGGCUCAACCGUGGAACUGCUGGGCAUACUGCGGGUCUUGGGCCAACUAGGGGCAGCCGGAACAAGCGGUGGAGCGGUGAAAUGCGUAGAUAUCAUUUGGAACGCCAAUGGUGAAAACAGGUAGCUGGGAGUGUGCUGACGCUGAGACACGAAAGCCAGGGGAGCGAACGGG